UACGGGGGGGGCAAGCGUUGUUCGGAAUUACUGGGCGUAAAGCGUACGUAGGCGGCUUUGUAAGUUAGAGGUGAAAGCCCGGGGCUCAACUCCGGAAUUGCCUUUAAGACUGCAUCGCUUGAAUCAUGGAGAGGUGAGUGGAAUUCCGAGUGUAGAGGUGAAAUUCGUAGAUAUUCGGAAGAACACCAGUGGCGAAGGCGACUCACUGGACAUGUAUUGACGCUGAGGUACGAAAGCGUGGGGAGCAAACAGG
rnacentral:rRNA from 1 species